GUUUAGACUAGAGUCACACAUAUACCUGUGAAGCACCAGAACUCAGCAUUGUAGAUGAGAGUCGUGGCUAUAUCUUUCCUUCUGAUGAGUUCUAUUUGUGGUGUAGGAGAGGCCCUCCAGUGUUAGCGGUGUCUCCCAGACAC